GUGGCAAAGAGAGAGAGAGAAAGAGCUGAACUUUGAUCUCUCUCAUCCUCCCUCUCUCUCUCUCUCUCUCUCUCUCUGCCAC
rnacentral:miRNA from 1 species